GUAGGUGAACCUGCGGAAGGAUCAUUACUGAAUGCUUCCAGCUUGCCGGACUUCUCCUUGCCCCGGCCGUUACAAAUUUGCAGCGGCCUCGGCAAUCCACACCCUGUGCACUGUACCUCUCCUUUGGCAGGCUUCGGAUUGACCUAUCCCUCAGACAAUUAGUCCGAGGUAGGUAAAUACGACUUUUGCUUGGACCCAUCUUGAUGUGGUGAUUCACUGCGGAUAAAUGACCAGCAAAAGCGGCCUGUCA
rnacentral:misc_RNA from 1 species